rnacentral:rRNA from 1 species
AACGAACGCUGGCGGCAGGCUUAACACAUGCAAAUCGAACGCCCCGCAAGGGGAGUGGCCGACGGGUGAGUAACGCGUGGGAAUCUACCCAUCCCUACGGAAUAACGCAUGGAAACGUGUGCUAAUACCGUAUACGCCCUACGGGGGAAAGAUUUAUCGGGGAUGGAUGAGCCCGCGUUGGAUUAGCUAGUUGGUGGGGUAAAGGCCUACCAAGGCGACGAUCCAUAGCUGGUCUGAGAGGAUGAUCAGCCACAUUGGGACUGAGACACGGCCCAAACUCCUACGGGAGGCAGCAGUGGGGAAUAUUGGACAAUGGGCGCAAGCCUGAUCCAGCCAUGCCGCGUGAGUGAUGAAGGCCUUAGGGUUGUAAAGCUCUUUCACCGGAGAAGAUAAUGACGGUAUCCGGAGAAGAAGCCCCGGCUAACUUCGUG